rnacentral:rRNA from 1 species
CGGAGAGGGCGCCUGAGACACGGCUACCACAUCCAAGGAAGGCAGCAGGCGCGCAAAUUACCCAAUCCCGACACGGGGAGGUAGUGACAAUAAAUACUGAUACAGGGCUCUUUUGGGUCUUGUAAUUGGAAUGAGUACAAUUUAAAUCCCUUAACGAGGAACAAUUGGAGGGCAAGUCUGGUGCCAGCAGCCGCGGUAAUUCCAGCUCCAAUAGCGUAUAUUAAAGUUGUUGCAGUUAAAAAGCUCGUAGUUGAACCUUGGGCCUGGCUGGCCGGUCCGCCUCACCGCGUGCACUGGUCCGGCCGGGCCUUUCCUUCUGGGGAGCCGCAUGCCCUUCACUGGGUGUGUCGGGGAACCAGGACUUUUACUUUGAAAAAAUUAGAGUGUUCAAAGCAGGCCUAUGCUCGAAUACAUUAGCAUGGAAUAAUAGAAUAGGACGUGUGGUUCUAUUUUGUUGGUUUCUAGGACCGCCGUAAUGAUUAAUAGGGAUAGUCGGGGGCACCAGUAUUCAAUUGUCAGAAGUGAAAUUCUUGGAUUUAUUGA